CUGGCUGCUGCCGAACGGCAACGGAACCGGUUCCAGUUUAUUUUCGUGGGGUCGCGCCGCGAAUUCUCGCAGCUUGUUUUCGUCCUUUCGCGAUGAAUUUCUUCGGCUAGAAAAAAAGACUUGUUUGCAGCCCUUAUCGCAGCUGCAGGAUAUCGUGGUGGAAGAAAAGCGCGAAUAAUACUGGGGCUAGGGAUAUUUAGGUCGACGGAGCGUGAAAAUGACUGGCAGAUAUGACGGAUUCAUGUUGACAGCGCAGAACUGAAUGGGAUGGAUCGAAACUGGUUUGAGUUGUUUUUGUUAUCUUUACUUCAAAGGAUUAGCGAGCAUGAGAAAGAUGCGCAAUUAUUGGUUUAUUUUAUUCUUUGCAUUUACAUUAUUUUUUAACUGGUUAGAAAACAAAACUUUUUAUGUUAAAUUCAAUAACAGUUAAAGAUUCUUCAUCGAUUGAGGAACAAUUGAGGAUUUUUCAUAAAUCGACAAAGAAUUAUCCCGAAAUAUUCGAAUAUUGAAAAACGAUUACUCUGACUUUCCCAUAAAGAAGACCAGAAAGUGAUGAAAACGAUGGGAUAAAAUCAAAAUUAUCGUUUGAUUACAAAGACUGCAGGGAUGAAAGGUAGCAGAAAUAUCCAACUUAAUGAAUAUUUAG